rnacentral:tRNA from 1 species
UCCCUAGUGGUCCAGUGGUUAAGACUCUGCACUUCCACUGCAGGGGACGCAGGUUCAAUCCCUGGUCAGGGAA